GGAGAUAGUCGAGGAAGUCGAUUCCGCCGAACGCGCUUCGCCUAAAAGAGCCCGGACCCACACGCAGUUUAGGUGCAGCUUUCCAAGGUUAUGCUGUGCUUUAGGGGAGGAACGACCACCGGUUCUCCAGGUUCCGGUCGCGAUCCGGUGGACCUGCUUCGGCUCACAUCAUGCUCUCUUCAGCUUUACCCGGUGCUUCCAAUUCCUGAGCCUUGUGCAGGGUUUCACUGUGUGCAUCAGGUUGCUUCAUGGCCUGCUUGGAAUUCCUACUUUUCCAGUCUGCUAAGAUCCAAGACAUACAUGUGAUUGACCACAAUGAAUAAAAAUCACACCUGGGAAGUUCCAAGGUGAACUCUGAUCCUAUGGAUAAGGCUGACCACAAGUUCACUGAGAUCCUGGAACCCACUGUUGAUUGACUCUUUUACAGUAGAUGGCAAGGAGGAAAACAUCUAUAAUUAGAGUCUCAAGGUAAUGAGCAAUUUAGUCUAUGUAACAGAAGAGUGGCCCAUUUGGAUAUAUCUGUACUGAUGGGACCCAUAUGAUGCAAUGAGAGUUAUCAGGAUGAGAAAUAACUUUCUAGCUGUAAGGAGCUCCAUCUCUGUCUCUCACUCUGAUGUCUGCUUAGGGACCUUGGUGUAGAGGUUCCCGCUGAAGAGUGUACUGGUGAUGGGAAGGUGGUCAGGGAGCUGGAGAGUCCUCCUCACCACUUAUCCUCUUCAGAAUCCACUUACUUUCCCCUGAAGUUGAUGAUAUAUUGCCAGCAUCUUCUUUUCAGAUGUGUAAAAUGUGCAGAACGAAGUCAUUGUGCACAUGAUCCUCACGGGAAGCUGAAGCAUCAUCCUCAUCGCUGCUGAAAUUCUCCAGAAUCCACUCAAGAUUCCAUGAAGUUGACAUAUGGGAACCAAAGAUUAUGUGAAAUUGACAUAUGGGAACCAUCUUCUUCCUUAUCCAUUGAUUUGCCAGAUGUUAUGCUGAGAUCUUUCAGGAGCAGCUGAAUAGUCUUCAUCCUUAGAGCUACCUUCAUAAAUGAUGUCCAGAGGAGAAUUGUAUUCCAUGUUCUUGAAGCUGCCUUGGUCUUCCAUGGGACCUUCUCCAGUGCCCUGUAACAAGGAAGCUGCUUCAGUAUGUCCUCGACAGAAAGAUUUUCACUUGCUUUUGAGUCCACGUUGACCACAGAUGAGACCUCCUUCUCUGACCUCUCACUUGGAAAAUCCCCUACCAGGUCUUCGGCAGAAGCUCCAGUGAAUUGCUCCCCAGUGUGUACUCUGUUAUGUUACCAGAUGGUUUUGACCCACUGCUUGGGGCAGGCAGCAUAUCUUCUGGACCACUGAAGAUAUGUUUCUCACAGAUGCGACUGUCUGCGGCUGUUGUCACAGGUAGUAGAGGAAUUUACCAAGACAGCUAUAGGUAAAGAAAGGUUUGUUAAAGAAAGUAUGAAAAUACGUUGCAAGAUUACAAUGGGCAGCACAGCAGAGAAGGGGCUGUCUGCAAAGAGGCAGGGGCAGAAGGAAAGUUUUAUAGGGUUGUACUGGACAGGGUUAUGUGCAGAACAAGGUCAUUGUGUGGAAUGAGGUCAUCUCUCAGAACAAUUAUUUAUUCUUCCCCACCUGGAGCCCCUCCCCACCUGGAGCCCCUCCCCACCUGAGGCCCCUUCCUCAUUUUUGCUUACUUAUCAGGAAUCCACGUUCCCCCUAUGACAGAACAGCAAUGACAAAGCUUUGGCAUUGGGGUAGAGGUCUCAUCUUCCAACUGCUUCCUGCUGACCAGGGGUGUGGAGUUGACCCAACCUAUGGUUGUUGGUCUGUCAGGAGACCUUGUGAGCCAUUGUCCUGGGUUGUAGGACCUAGGAUAUUGGAUCAUGCUGGAGGAGAGCAUUCAUUGGAGAGGGGGAGCAUGUCUAGGCAAAACUGGCCUUCAGCUGAAUGGGAGACUCCUAAAGGUAGCAGACAUCAUUGAGGAGAGUCCAAUAUCCUGUUCAUAGCACCAUUUGAAGGUGAAACUACUGAAUUCUAGAAGAUAAAAUUUUGUUUCUUGAACCAGUUACCAAAAAGGCAAAGAAAAACCCUUUGUAGUGUGACUGUUUUUCCUUAUUGGAAGCCCAUUUAGAUAACCUGGAAGUUACACUUGAUGAAAAAGUGUUUGAAUUUAAUUAGACACAGCAUAGGGAGCCAAUUUUAGAGAGACUAUUAUAUCUUAAUUACAUAUAAUGUUCCUUUUGUGAAUUUCACAAAUUUUCUCAUGAUUUACACAGACCAUCUAUGAUGUGCCCAGACUUUCUGACUUGUCCUAAGCAUCCCUCUUUCUUAAACAAGCAGUCAUUUUACUUUAGGACAAGAAUUUACCAUACAAAUCCUUUCUCAUGUAAAACCUUCAUAACCUUCAUUACCAAAAACAACUCUUUACCUUUAUAACUUUCUUUAUGUUUCUUUUAUUUCCUGGUUCCAUUUUAUCUUGUUUUACAUAUAACAAUUAACCUUUGAAUUAGACAAAAGUUAUUUUCCUUUAUUUAUUUAUUUAUUUUUUAUUAUUAUACUUUAAGUUGUAGGGAGUUAUUUUCCUUUUUUUAGGAGUUUGUGGUUUAUGCUGUGUGUUUCUGUGUGAGUUCUGUGGAAGGGAAGCAAAUGAGGAGGUUAUUUACAUAUUGUAGAAGUUGUUCCAUCAAGAGAUUACUCAGUUAGCUUUCUUGCUAGGGCUUGUCUGAAUAAGUAUGGGCUAUUUUAAACCCCUGAAAUAAGACUAUCUAGGUUGAAGUUAUUUGUUAAAGAUUUAGAUAGCUUUCCCAGGAGAAAUGGGUCUAUUAGAGGGAAAGAUGAAUUCAGAGGUUGGGUAAAUAUGAAGCAGGCACCCAUCUUGGAAAGUAUGUUUUUGCCCCAAAGGGGUGUGUGGUAUUUAGAUAUUACCAGGGCAUGGAGGGAAAAUGGUAAUUGAGCCCUUACAUAGUAUAAAGGGAUAUGAAUUUUUCUUUUGGAGGGAGAGGGUGCCACUUUUUCCAUUACCCAACAGGAUUUGGAGGAGAGUUGCUUAGAGAAGGAGAUUAGUACAAAGUUACUAUAAGUCAUUUAGCCAAAAUAAUAAGUCCAAAAUUUUUAAAAGGCAAAAAUCUUUACUCGCUGAUAGAGGGGAGACUCAACUUUCAAAACAGGCUGCAAUAAAGACAGCAUGAGGACAACUGGAUCUGUCUCCUUUUUCUUCCCUCCUUUUUCUGUCAUUCAUUUAAAAGGCAAACAAAAUUCUUUCAUUUUUGUUUAUAUCACAUGAAAAUCUUGUUUAAAAGAGAAAGCCAAAUUACAUCUUUGUACUAGUGUUCUAUUAAUGUUAAAUCCAAUUAUUAAUAAAACCUUAUAAACAAA